rnacentral:rRNA from 1 species
AGAGUUUGAUCCUGGCUCAGGACGAACGCUGGCGGCGUGCCUAACACAUGCAAGUCGAACGGGACUCGGCCCUUCGGGACUGGGUUUAGUGGCGAACGGGUGAGUAACGCGUGAGGAACCUGCCUUUCAGUGGGGGACAACAGUUGGAAACGACUGCUAAUACCGCAUAAUACUUUCGAGCGGCAUCGUUUGAAAGUCAAAGAUUUAUUGCUGAAAGAUGGCCUCGCGUCUGAUUAGCUAGUUGGUGAGGUAACGGCCCACCAAGGCGACGAUCAGUAGCCGGACUGAGAGGUUGAACGGCCACAUUGGGACUGAGAUACGGCCCAGACUCCUACGGGAGGCAGCAGUGGGGAAUAUUGGGCAAUGGGGGAAACCCUGACCCAGCAACGCCGCGUGAAGGAAGAAGGCCUUCGGGUUGUAAACUUCUUUUACCAGGGACGAAAAAAGUGACGGUACCUGGAGAAAAAGCAACGGCUAACUACGUGCCAGCAGCCGCGGUAAUACGUAGGUUGCAAGCGUUGUCCGGAUUUACUGGGUGUAAAGGGCGUGUAGGCGGAGAUGCAAGUUGGGAGUGAAAUCCAUGGGCUCAACCCAUGAACUGCUCUCAAAACUGUAUCCCUUGAGUAUCGGAGAGGCAAGCGGAAUUCCUAGUGUAGCGGUGAAAUGCGUAGAUAUUAGGAGGAACACCAGUGGCGAAGGCGGCUUGCUGGACGACAACUGACGCUGAGGCGCGAAAGCGUGGGGAGCAAACAGGAUUAGAUACCCUGGUAGUCCACGCUGUAAACGAUGAAUACUAGGUGUGGGAGGACUGACCCCUUCCGUGCCGCAGUUAACACAAUAAGUAUUCCACCUGGGGAGUACGACCGCAAGGUUGAAACUCAAAGGAAUUGACGGGGGCCC